GGUUGUUGUUUCCCAUGUCGUCGUCGUCCGGUCCAGCUGAAUCUCGGAGUGGCCACGCGAAUCACAAGGAGAGGAGGGGGACGGCCUAGCCACGACCACUAGUCCAAUCUCGAGAUCCAGCGAGGCGAUGUUGAUGCGCAGCAGAAGGUAGUAACACGGAAGCUUGCAAAGUACGGAAGAUGAUAGCCAUUGCGGACGGUUCGGACGGGACUGAUUGAUGAGUUGCAGUACCUGACCACACCUGACCGACCGAUGUGAGAUAGUUUCGGCGAACCAACGAUGCAGCGAGCAUCAAGCGCCGAUGCUCCUGGCAGUCCCCUUUCAGCGGCAGGCCCCAAUCCAUGGAGGGCUUCACCGUCGACCCAACCUCGACUCCUCACCGGUCCAGGAUGAUGGCCAGGUAUUUGCUGCCGAUGUUGUUGUUCGGACCAGCUUUAGCUGGUAGUGGAUGACUCACAAUGUGAGGAAGGGGACGGUCCGGCCACGACCAGUAGACCAAUCUCGAGCUCCAGCGUGACGUUGACGAUGCCCAGCAAAAGGAACGCGCAAGCUUGCAAAGCACGGAAGAUGAUGGCCAUUGCAUAUGGUCAGGACAGGAUUUUGCAUAUGUUGCUGCUGAUCGAUGCGGUGCAAUACGUUACCACACCUGACCGACCUUAACGAGAUAGUUUCGGCGAACCAACGAUGCAGCGAUUAAGCGCAAAGUAUCUUUUUUUUUUCUCUCUUGAUUUUCCUCGUGUGCUGCUCCAGGCUAGGAUAUGUACAACACUGAGUGAGGCAUGCAUCUUGGAUAGGAUUUAAGAGCGAGGCAUGCAUGAAUGAAAGCAACUCGAUUCUGUUUUCCUUCGAAA